rfam:Otolemur garnettii contig140037, whole genome shotgun sequence.
AGCUUUGCUCAGUGGUAGUAUCGUAACCAAUGAGGUUUAUCCGAGGUGUGAUUAUUGCUAA